rnacentral:rRNA from 1 species
AUUGAACGCUGGCGGCAGGCUUAACACAUGCAAGUCGAGCGGGGUGAUGGUGCUUGCACUAUCACUUAGCGGCGGACGGGUGAGUAAUGCUUAGGAAUCUGCCUAUUAGUGGGGGACGACAUCUCGAAAGGGAUGCUAAUACCGCAUACGUCCUACGGGAGAAAGCAGGGGAUCACUUGUGACCUUGCGCUAAUAGAUGAGCCUAAUUCGGAUUAGCUAGUUGGUGGGGUAAAGGCCUACCAAGGCGACGAUCUGUAGAGGGUCUGAGAGGAUGAUCCGCCACACUGGGACUGAGACACGGCCCAGACUCCUACGGGAGGCAGCAGUGGGGAAUAUUGGACAAUGGGGGGAACCCUGAUCCAGCCAUGCCGCGUGUGUGAAGAAGGCCUUAUGGUUGUAAAGCACUUUAAGCGAGGAGGAGGCUCUUUUGGUUAAUACCCAAGAUGAGUGGACGUUACCCGCAGAAUAAGCACCGGCUAACUCUGUGCAGCCGCCGCAGUAA